UACGUAGGGGGCAAGCGUUGUCCGGAAUCAUUGGGCGUAAAGCGCGUGUAGGCGGUUCGGUAAGUCGGCUGUGAAAGUCCAGGGCUCAACCCUGGGAUGCCGGUCGAUACUGCCGGACUAGAGUUCGGAAGGGGCGAGUGGAAUUCCCGGUGUAGCGGUGAAAUGCGCAGAUAUCGGGAGGAACACCAAUGGCGAAGGCAGCUCGCUGGGACGUUACUGACGCUGAGACGCGAAAGCGUGGGGAGCAAACAGG
rnacentral:rRNA from 1 species